GCCUGGGUGGCUCAGUUGGUUAAGCAGCCAACUUCGGCUCAGGUCACGAUCUCGCGGUCUGUGAGUUCGAGCCCCGCGUCAGGCUCUGUGCUGACAGCUCAGAGCCUGGAGCCUGUUUCGGAUUCUGUGUCUCCCUCUCUCUCUGCCCCUCCCCUGUUCAUGCUCUGUCUCUCUCUGUCUCAAAAAUAAAUAAACGUUUAAAAAAAAAACUGUUUAAAAGAAUGGAUUGGUUAGAGAAGGAAACACUCUCUUAGAGGUAACAUUUUGUGACUGAUUGGGUAUAGUAGGUAAGCAGAAAGGCUUACUCUUUAUGCAAGGUUCUUAGUUGAACCUCAGUUUCUCAUUUGCAAAAUGGGGGUCCUAAUAGGUUUCCAACUUACUCAUGUAUUUUUUUUUAACAUUUUAUUAAAAAAAAUUUUUUUUACGUUUGUUUAUUUUUGAGAGAUGAGAUAGAGAGCAAGUAGGGAAGGGGCAGAGAGAGAGAGAGAUAGAGAAUCUGAAUCAGGCUCCAGGCUCUGAGCUGUCCGUGCAAGAGCCCAACGCAGGUCUCAAAUCCACGGACCGUGAGAUCCUGACCUGAGCCGAAGUCGGAUGCUUAACCGACUGAGCCACCCAGGCACCCGUGAGAUUUCAUUUCUAAGUAGGCUCUGCACCCAAUGUGGGCCUCGAACUUACAACCCUGAGAUCAAGAGUCGCGUGUUCCACCGACUGUGCCAGCCAGGCACCCUCUAAUUUUUAAUAGCGUUUUAGUUUAUUUACUUACAGGGUUGUUGCUUGUGUGCUUCAGCUGAGGUCAGGUGUUUGUUUUGGCUCACAUCCUUUGAGAAGCAGAACCCAAUUCAAGUGCUCUCAGUUUGGAAGGUGCAAACGCAGAGUAGUAGAGGCGAGAGAGGAGAAAGCCAGGCCGAGGGAGGUGCAGUAUGUUACAUACUUGGCUCUUGUUCCUCCCUGAGCUGAGAGAGAGCAGGCCGCUUGCAUGUGGGGUUUUUCUGAAAGGGCUGCAGGAGACACUACCCUUCAGGAUAGUCCAUAUGAGAGAGAAAAAAGGGAUAGCUUAGCUGUCCAGCUUCCUCCUGUUUCCUGUUUCUAGUUGGUAAAGACUCAUUGCACGGGAGACAGAUGUACCCGUGCUUCUGGAUCGUAUGGCUUCUCAGUGACUGAUCGGCCAGCAGCUCUCCCACCCUGAUUUGUAUGAGACCAAAUUGUAGAGGGAGGACGGAUGGAGACCAACCAAAGACCAAGGUUCAAGGGGGCAGUGGGGGGCUCACGAGGUCCGUGUCCCUGUAUAACAUAUAAAAGUGGUGUGAAACUGGUUUCAUUUUUUACUAAGGAAGUACCAACAGUGUUUUAGGGUGAUUUAUUUGACUUUAAUUUUUAUGGUCAUCUGAGAGGAGAAAGUGGCUGGAAUUAGGACACAAAAUCCUAGAUUUGAAUUUAUCUGAGAAUUUGGACUGUGGGCAUGGUUGUAGUAGGCUUCGUAGAAAAAGGUUGAUAAUGUUAUGAAUAAGGGAAAGAUAGAGCCUGACCUGAUGGGUAACAUGAAAUCAGCUUUCAAAGAUAGCUUUAAAAUUUUACGCCAGGAUGGCCAUAAAAAUGAUAAGAAGAACAAACAAAUGGGAAGAUUUUAAGCCAAGGCUAUUUUUAUUUUAUUAAAGACACCCAAAACUGAUGAUGAUGAUGAUGAUGAUUAUUAAAUGUAUAUGGUAAAAAACUAUUAAGUCCUCUAUUGCCCCUACCCAAUUCCUGCAUCCAGGUAGCCAAUACUGA